rnacentral:tRNA from 1 species
GCCUGGAUGGCUCAGUCGGUUGAGCAUCUGACUUCAGCUCAGGUCAUGAUGUUGUGGUCUGUGAGUUCAAGCCCCGUGUUGGGCU